AGGGAAUGUUGUGGCUGGUUUGAUCUUCUAUCCAGACCGCUAAAACCUUUUGCACAUAAACAAUAAGGCUGUUUAGCUUAUCACUGUGUAUUCACUGGAAUAGCCCUUUUAAGUUCCUUCAAGAAUGUUUCCUUUGCAUCACAACUUAGCUGUUUGGUGCAAAAGGUCUGGUUUUAAGCCAGUCUCAGCUUUUGACAUGCCUUCCUCAUUAAGCUUAAUCAUUUCUAGCUUUUGAUUUAAAGUGAGAGACAUGUGACUGGUCCUUUCACUUGAACACCUAGAGGCCAUUGUGGGAUUAUUUAUUGGCCCAAUUUCACUAUUGUUGUGUUUCAGAGAACAGGGAGGCCUGAAGAGAGGGACAUAGACAGGGGAACGACGAGUGAAGCAGUCAGAACACACACAUUUAUCAAUUAAGUUCACUGUCUUAAUGGGGUGGUUCAUGGUGCCCCAAAACAAUUACAAUAGUAACAUCGAUCACUGAUCACAGAUCACCAUAACAGAUAUCAUAAUGAUGAAAAUCUGAAAUAUUGUGACAAUUACCAAAACGUGACACAGAGACACAAAGUAAGCAAAUGCUACUGGAAAAUGGCACCAAUAGACGUGCUCAAUGCAGGGUCAUCGCACGUCUUCAAUUUCUAAAAACACAAUUUCUAAAAGCGCCAUCAAUGAAACGCAAUGAAACAAAGUGUGCCUAUACACCCCAUGGUCUCUGGUCACUGCCACGUCCACACACUGGCCCAGAAUCGCUGGCCCAAGGCCUCGAGUGCAGGGUGCCCUGAGGUGGGCAUGCACAGCCUCAAGUCCACUGAGGUUUAUCCUGGCAUGAGCCUCUAAAAGGGAGAUUACUGCCUGCAGAAUUUCAUGUUCCCCUCAAAAAUGUGCCCAUGCAUUCUCAUAUGCCACAUCGGAUGUGCCCGGUUCCCUGCACUCCAGCCACGAGUCCUCCCGCUUUCUUUCCUUGCCUUUUCAAACUUCCACAUCUUUGAUUCCUAGCGAUGCUGGAUUUUCUCCUGUGUUACCUGCUAGUUGUAUUCUACCUGUCAUGUAUCUGAGCAUAACCUGUGUUAUCUUUUUGAUCUUUUUCUCAUUGAUCUGUAGACAGACGUUCUUGUAUUAAGAAUAUGAAUAGUCUUGCCUGCUGCAUAUAUUAUAAAAACAUUUUUCACUUUGCUGUUUGCCACUCAGUUUGUGUUUAUGGCACUUUGUGAUAUUCAGAAAUUUUUGUAGCCAAAUGUAUAAAUCUCCUUUUUUGUUUGUUUUUGCAUUAACAUAAGUCAUGCUUAAGCCUCCCUGAAAGGCUCUCCAUGUGUCAUUUACAGCCUUACUUGAUUUAGGCUUUAUUUUCAUGAGUGAUGUAAAAUUCUAAUUUCAUUGUUUUUCGGAGUUUCCUAUUCAUCCCAUGAUCCUUUGCCUGAUCUGAAAUAGCACCUCAUAUGUACCCUACCCACUAACAUUUUGAAAUAGAAUUCCAUGAAAAUCAUAAAACCUGAUUAUUAAAAACAUUUUUCCUUGA